rnacentral:rRNA from 1 species
UACCAGCACCCCGAGUGGUCGGGACGUUUUAUUGGGCCUAAAGCAUCCGUAGCCGGCUCUACAAGUCUUCCGUUAAAUCCAGCUGCUUAACAGAUGGGCUGCGGAAGAUACUAUGGAGCUAGGAGGCGGGAGAGGCAAGCGGUACUCGAUGGGUAGGGGUAAAAUCCGUUGAUCCAUUGAAGACCACCAGUGGCGAAGGCGGCUUGCCAGAACGCGCUCGACGGUGAGGGAUGAAAGCUGGGGGAGCAAACCGG